CUUUAUAUCUUUUAAUUGAUUACAAUUUUUUUUUCUUUUUCUUUUUUUUUUCUUUUUUUCUUUUCUUUUUUUUUUCUACUUUAAUCUAUAAUCUAGAAAUUCAUGACAGUUAUUAAUAGAGAUUCAGUGAAAAUGUAUAACGUGUAUUAAGCGAGAUGAGUUUAAAAUAUUUUACACAUGUCUACGUCGAUGGUUUUGUUAAAGGAGGCGGAAAAAUAUUGAUCUCGUUAUACCAACAUUUCAAAAGAAGAAAUAAAAUGAUUUAUACUUUUGCCUCAACGUUUCGUGACAAAGACACGUUUUCUUAUGACACGGAAUCACUAAUAACAUUUUCGAAUUUGUUUCUGCAAGUGUGGAUGGGGUUCACUCGGAUGAAAUCCUCUUUCAUUAAACCGUAAUGAGACGGUAAUAAAUAAACAAUAAGAAAUGCAACGAUGAUAAUUCGCUAUCUGGAAGGCAUGACCUCGCAUUAUCGCGAAAAGAGCUCACAGGCUACCAUGAGUGUGCAUGUGACUGUUGGAAGAUUCGAUAUUUCGUAGUGAAAAAUAAAAAAAAAAAAAAGAAGCAACCCUUUGUCGUUUAGUAAUAUAAUAGAUUUUAAUAUAAUUUAUUUUU